rnacentral:rRNA from 1 species
AGGACGAACGCUGGCGGCGUGCUUAACACAUGCAAGUCGAGCGGGAACCUCGGGAGGGGUAACCCUUCCGAGGGGAGAGCGGCGAACGGGUGAGUAACACGUGGGCAACCUGCCCCGGACACCGGGAUAACCCAGGGAAACCUGAGCUAAUACCGGAUACUCCGGCACGAUCGCAUGAUCGUUCCGGGAAAGCUCCGACGGUCCGGAUGGGCCCGCGGCCUAUCAGCUU